AGGGGAGUGAGUGCACACUACCCUGUGUAGCAUCCGGUCACUGGCAAGCUGAUGUUUGCCAUGAGGAGAUACGGGGACCAGCAGCAAUAGUUCAUGAUUUUAUAGUUAGCAGAUAAUUGCCCUUUAUCCUUGGGGUGCAGCAAGGGAGGGAGGAAGGGUGGUAUGUGUUUUCAUCUUUGGAAGAGAAAAUUAAAUUGGAAUUAUUUUCUAGAAAUUUUGAGAAGUCCACUCAAUUUUCCUGGGAGAGAGUGCUCACUGUGUGAAAGUACAUCCCAUGUUACAAAAGAGUUGUAUGUGUGUGUGUAUAUAUAUAAUAUAUGCACACAUGAAAUUAUGUGUAUAUGUAUAUAUACAUACAUACGUGUAUGUAUAUGUCCCCACGCAGCUAUUUGGUAUUUGUAAGUUUAGACUUCAACUUAACAUAAUAUGAAAACUUCUCUGGUUUACAAAGUGUAAAAUCUUAUACAAGCCAAUGGAUUUCCUACCUCACUGGACACUCGGCUGUCUGUCAUCGGUUCUUGUGUGUACAUACGUCAGAUCUUUUGCUUUAAAUGUAAAUAUUUGCUUUGAAAAGUUACUUACCAUUUUAUGAUAAAGCCUUAAAGGUAUUUUUUUAAAGACACUUGGUUUAAAUUUCUCUCUAUGAACAGUUUAGCAUUAAGGGUUAAUUUUAAUGGUGUCUGGUAAUUGGCCAAGUGUAAUAUUUCUUAAAAUUUAACAUUACUUUUAACAGCCAGCAUGUAAUACAAGUAACUACACUACCUCAUACACACCUUUGUGAUUUUCAAGUUGUAUUAGGUGGACAGGACAGGUUUUACCUUUGUCUUUGGGCCAUAAGGUGGGUAAUAAUAGAAAUAUAUUGCAUAGCAUUAUACAUGUAUGCCUAUUUUAACGUGAACUUCUAAAACAUUUUCUUUUCUAAGAAGAUUUGUUUUAAGGAAAUAUUGGGGGGGGGGAUGCAGAAGACAAAUGAUAGGAGGAUCAUAUGUGUACAACGUAUGCCUUUUCCUUCAUGCAGAGCUUGGACAGUGGUUUUAGUUGGUGUUUUGCAUAGUCACACAAUCAGAGCUCCUUAUUGUAUAAGCCAGCCUUCUCAAGGCGCGGUGAUUUUUUUUUUUUAAAGCUGUCAUGUCUGACUUGAUACAAUAAUGUCAUCUUUGUCAUCUUAAAUUUUUGCCCCUUAUUUGAAUCCUGUAGCUACAAUCAAAUUAAUUUGUUAAAUUGUUAUACUCAGAAUAAAUAUGGAUAUAACAUUGGUUGUCCACCUGCAAGCUUUCUAACAGUUUACUGUAGCUUGAUGCUUAGCCAGUUUUACAUUAGGAAUUCAACAUACAUGAUACAGGGAUGAGGGUACUCAGCCGCGUUAACAACUUGG
rnacentral:lncRNA from 1 species